UCCACAAAAGGAUUCAACUAGCUGUGAGGGUAGAUUAGAUCUUAUAGAUUGUUUUAGGGUUGAUAGAAAGAAAAUGUGUAAAUAUCGUGAACAUAAGCGUCAACUUGAGUUAUUUAAUAACGGAAAAUAUGUUGCUCUGAUGAAUGUUCACAGAUUAGCCGGGUUGGAAUUGAUGAACUUCUACUGAACCAUUUUUAAAAAUCCAAUAGUGUUACUGACUUUAAUUCAAUAGGAAUGCUGCUAGUAAACAACAUAAUAUUUGAUCAGCUUAUCAUUUUCCAUUGAGUGAAAGGAUUUCACAGAAAAUAUUGGUAAGUAUAAAGUAUCGUGGCGGUUGAACAGGUAAUGUAACAGUGAUCAAGUAAUAGAUAAAUAGACUCUGUUUUAAUAUGUAUAGUACUAAUUAGUGAAGAUCGUAAUAAAUUAAGACGAUGGAGAGACAUUACCUGGGCCGCUACUCAACUACAGGCAGUGAGCCCGUCAUGGGAGUAGGUGACGACGAGACCAUGGUAAGCCGACCUUGUUCCUUUACUAUGGGAU